GAUGAACGCUGGCGGCGUGCCUAAUACAUGCAAGUCGAGCGAACAGACGAGGAGCUUGCUCCUCUGACGUUAGCGGCGGACGGGUGAGUAACACGUGGAUAACCUACCUAUAAGACUGGGAUAACUUCGGGAAACCGGAGCUAAUACCGGAUAACAUGUUGAACCGCAUGGUUCAACAGUGAAAGACGGUCUUGCUGUCACUUAUAGAUGGAUCCGCGCCGCAUUAGCUAGUUGGUAAGGUAACGGCUUACCAAGCCAACGAUGCGUAGCCGACCUGAGAGGGUGAUCGGCCACACUGGAACUGAGACACGGUACAGACUCCUACGGGAGGCAGCAGUAGGGAAUCUUCCGCAAUGGGCGAAAGCCUGACGGAGCAACGCCGCGGGAGUGAAGAAGGUCUUAGGAUCGUAAAACUCUGUUAUUAGGGAAGAACAAAUGUGUAAGUAACUAUGCACGUCUUGACGGUACCUAAUCAGAAAGCCACGGCUAACUACGUG
rnacentral:rRNA from 1 species